UGUAAGCGUAUACCAAAGUUGUUGCAGUUAAAACGCUCGUAGUCGGAAUUUGGCAGUUCCGGAUGUGUGCACGUCGUGUGCGCACUUCGCGGGGAUUGCUUUUGUGGUCUUGCGUAGGAUGAGGCACUUUUAUUAGUGAACGUCCUCACGCAACCACUUUUUACUGUGAGAAAAUCAGAGUGCUCAAAGCAGGCAUUUGCCGUGAAUGUAUUAGCAUGGAAUAAUAGAAUAGGACUUGGUUCUAUUUUGUUGGUUUGUUGGGACUGAGUAAUGAUUAAGAGGGACAGUUGGGGGCAUUUGUAUUUCGGUGCUAGAGGUGAAAUUCUUAGAUUACCGAAAGACAACCUGCUGCGAAAGCGUCUGCCAAGGAUGUUUUCAUUGA
rnacentral:rRNA from 1 species